rnacentral:tRNA from 1 species
GCCCCUGUAGUUCAAUUGGCAGAAUCGCCGUCUCAUACGCGGCAGAUCGCGGUUCGAUUCCGCGCAGAGGUUCCA